rnacentral:rRNA from 1 species
GACGAACGCUGGCGGCGUGCUUAACACAUGCAAGUCGAACGGAAAGGCCCUGCUUUUGUGGGGUGCUCGAGUGGCGAACGGGUGAGUAACACGUGAGUAACCUGCCCUUGCCUUUGGGAUAACUUCAGGAAACUGGGGCUAAUACCGGAUAGGAGCUCCUGCUGCAUGGUGGGGGUGGGAAAGUUUCGGCGGUUGGGGAUGGACUCGCGGCUUAUCAGCUUGUUGGUGGGGUAGUGGCUUACCAAGGCUUUGACGGGUAGCCGGCCUGCGCGGGUGACCGGCCACAUUGGGACUGAGAUACGGCCCAGACUCCUACGGGAGGCAGCAGUGGGGAAUAUUGCACAAUGGGCGGAAGCCUGAUGCAGCAACGCCGCGUGCGGGAUGACGGCCUUCGGGUUGUAAACCGCUUUCGCCUGUGACGAAGCGUGAGUGACGGUAAUGGGUAAAGAAGCACCGGCUAACUACGUG